rnacentral:pre_miRNA from 14 species
UCUUCGGAGUUGUGGGUGGUUGCUAAAUCCCGGACGAGCCCCCAAAUGAAAGACCCCCGGAGUGGGGAGAGCCCCACUCAAAUCUCGAGACGACGCAACCCCAAAGAACUCACGAGAAACU